GACGAACGCUGGCGGCGUGCUUAACACAUGCCAGUCGAACGGAAAGGCCCUGCUUUUGUGGGGUGCUCGAGUGGCGAACGGGUGAGUAACACGUGAGUAACCUGCCCUUGACUUUGGGAUAACUUCAGGAAACUGGGGCUAAUACCGGAUAGGAGCUCCUGCUGCAUGGUGGGGGUUGGAAAGUUUCGGCGGUGGGGGAUGGACUGGCGGCUUAUCAGCUUGUUGGUGGGGUAGUGGCUUACCAAGGCUUUGACGGGUAGCCGGCCUGAGAGGGUGACCGGCCACAUUGGGACUGAGAUACGGCCCAGACUCCUACGGGAGGCAGCAGUGGGGAAUAUUGCACAAUGGGCGGAAGCCUGAUGCAGCAACGCCGCGUGCGGGAUGACGGCCUUCGGGUUGUAAACCGCUUUCGCCUGUGACGAAGCGUGAGUGACGGUAAUGGGUAAAGAAGCACCGGCUAACUACGUG
rnacentral:rRNA from 1 species